UACGUAGGGUGCAAGCGUUAAUCGGAAUUACUGGGCGUAAAGCGUGCGCAGGCGGUUAUGUAAGACAGAUGUGAAAUGCCCGGGCUUAACCUGGGAACUGCAUUUGUGACUGCAUGGCUAGAGUUUGGCAGAGGGGGGUAGAAUUCCACGUGUAGCAGUGAAAUGCGUAGAUAUGUGGAGGAACACCGAUGGCGAAGGCAGCCCCCUGGGUCAAGACUGACGCUCAUGCACGAAAGCGUGGGGAGCAGACAGG
rnacentral:rRNA from 1 species